rnacentral:rRNA from 1 species
UUGCACCUACGGGACGCAGCAGUGAGGAAUAUUGGUCAAUGGCCGAGAGGCUGAACCAGCCAAGUCGCGUGAGGGAAGACGGCCCUACGGGUUGUAAACCUCUUUUGUCGGGGAGCAAAGAGAGUCACGUGUGACUCAUUGAGAGUACCCGAAGAAAAAGCAUCGGCUAACUCCGUGCCAGCAGCCGCGGUAAUACGGAGGAUGCGAGCGUUAUCCGGAUUUAUUGGGUUUAAAGGGUGCGUAGGCGGAAUAUCAAGUCAGCGGUAAAAAUUCGGGGCUCAACCCCGUCGUGCCGUUGAAACUGA